rnacentral:rRNA from 1 species
UACAGAGGAGCCAAGCGUUGUCCGGAUUGACUGGGCGUAAAGCGCACGCAGGCGGUUGCGCGCGUGGGGUGUGAAAUCUGGCCGCUUAACGGCCAGGCGCCAUCCCAUACGGCGCGACUGGAGGGCUGCAGAGGUCGAUGGAAUUGCCGGUGUAGUGGUGAAAUGCGUAGAGAUCGGCAGGAACACCCCAGGGGGAAACCAGUCGACUGGGCAGCACCUGACGCUGAGGUGCGAGAGCGUGGGGAGCGAACCGG